rnacentral:rRNA from 1 species
UGCCAGCCGCCGCGGUAACACGGGGGGGGCAAGCGUUGUCCGGAAUUAUUGGGCGUAAAGAGCACGUAGGCGGAUCUUCAAGUCAAGUGUGAAAGCCCUAGGCUUAACCAAGGAAGUGCAUUCGAAACUGUCAGGCUUGAGUAUGGGAGAGGGUUGCGGAAUUCCCGGUGUAGAGGUGAAAUUCGUAGAUAUCGGGAGGAACACCAGAGGCGAAGGCGGCAACCUGGACCAAUACUGACGCUGAGGUGCGAAAGCGUGGGGAGCAAACAGGAUUAGAUA